UGUCAGAAGCUGCUGUCUCCAAGUGGCCUUUGGGUCCACAGAGCCAGAACAGCACAUUCAUGAAGACUAAAUGCUGUGUUGUCUGAAGCUUUGACUGCACCACAGGCACUCUGCAAAAAUAUCUUCUUACAGCUGCAAGGGCUUCACACCCACUAUGUUUGACUGUGUUGGGAGCCUGAGCACAGGCACUGCACUGGUGUAAAUCCUCAUGGAAGACAUUGCAGCUAUGACAACUUACACCAGCACCUGAGCUUCCCUGGAACUAACACGACAAAGCAGCAAUGUUAGUGAGCAGUAGAGAAUUAUUAAAAGAACACAGAUAAUUGGAAGAAAACAAAUGGCCUGGGUAGAAGAGCUACCAUAAAAUGAAGUGCAGACAUGGAAGAAGGAGAUACUCAGAACCUCCUGGUAAUAUGCUACUUUCCAGUUCCACAUUCAUUUUUUUGCACUUCUAGUGUUCAGCAUAAAGUUGUGGUGG